AUUGAACGCUGGCGGCAGGCCUAACACAUGCAAGUCGAACGAGUGGCGGACGGGUGAGUAAUGUCUGGGAAACUGCCUGAUGGAGGGGGAUAACUACUGGAAACGGUAGCUAAUACCGCAUACCAUCGGAUGUGCCCAGAUGGGAUUAGCUAGUAGGUGGGGUAACGGCUCGCCUAGGCGACGGUCCCUAGCUGGUCUGAGAGGAUGACCAGCCACACUGGAACUGAGACACGGUCCAGACUCCGACGGUAGGCAGCAGUGGGGAAUAUUGCACAAUGGGCGCAAGCCUGAUGCAGCCAUGCCGCGUGUAUGAAGAAGGCCUUCGGGUGGUAAAGUACUGUCAGCGGGGAGGCGUUACCCGCAGAAGAAGCACCGGCUAACGCCGUGCCAGCAGCCGCGGUAAUAC
rnacentral:rRNA from 1 species